GACGAACGCUGGCGGCGUGCCUAAUACAUGCAAGUCGAACGCUGAAGGAGGAGCUUGCUUGUCGGGUUGAGUCGCGAACGGGAGUGUAACGCGUAGGUAACCUGCCUGGUGGUGGGGGAUAACUAUUGGAAACGAUAGAUAAUACCGCAUAACAGUAGAUAUCGCAUGAUAUCUACUUGAAAGGUGCCGUUGCAUCACUACCAGAUGGCCCUGCGUUGUAUUAGCUAGUUGGUGAGGUAACGGCGCACCAAGGCGACGAUACAUAGCCGACCUGAGAGGGGGGGCUGCCACGCUGGGACGGGUACACGGCCCAGACUCCUCCGGGAGGCAGCAGUAGGUAAUCUUCGGCGAUGGACGGAAGACUGACCGAGAAACGCCGCGUGAGUGAAGAAGGGUUUCGGAUCGUAAAGCUCUGUUGUAAGGGAAGAACGAGUGUGAGAGUGGAAAGUUCACACUGUUACGGUAACUUACCAGAAAGGGACGGCUAACUACGUG
rnacentral:rRNA from 1 species